AGAGUUUGAUCAUGGCUCAGGACGAACGCUGGCGGCGUGCCUAAUACAUGCAAGUAGAACGCUGAGGACUGGUGCUUGCACUGGUCUAAGGAGUUGCGAACGGGUGAGUAACGCGUAGGUAACCUACCUCAUAGCGGGGGAUAACUAUUGGAAACGAUAGCUAAUACCGCAUGACAAUAGGGUACACAUGUACCCUAUUUAAAAGGGGCAAAUGCUUCACUAUGAGAUGGACCUGCGUUGUAUUAGCUAGUUGGUAAGGUAACGGCUUACCAAGGCGACGAUACAUAGCCGACCUGAGAGGGUGAUCGGCCACACUGGGACUGAGACACGGCCCAGACUCCUACGGGAGGCAGCAGUAGGGAAUCUUCGGCAAUGGGGGGAACCCUGACCGAGCAACGCCGCGUGAGUGAAGAAGGUUUUCGGAUCGUAAAGCUCUGUUGUUAGAGAAGAACGGUAAUGGGAGUGGAAAAUCCAUUACGUGACGGUAACUAACCAGAAAGGGACGGCUAACUACGUGCCAGCAGCCGCGGUAAUACGUAGGUCCCGAGCGUUGUCCGGAUUUAUUGGGCGUAAAGCGAGCGCAGGCGGUUUGAUAAGUCUGAAGCUAAAGGCUGUGGCUUAACCAUAGUUCGCUUUGGAAACUGUCAAACUUGAGUGCAGAAGGGGAGAGUGGAAUUCCAUGUGUAGCGGUGAAAUGCGUAGAUAUAUGGAGGAACACCGGUGUCGAAAGCGGCUCUCUGGUCUGUAACUGACGCUGAGGCUCGAAAGCGUGGGGAUCAAACAGGAUUAGAUACCCUGGUAGUCC
rnacentral:rRNA from 1 species